rnacentral:rRNA from 1 species
UGCCAGCAGCCGCGGUAAAACGUAGGGGGCGAGCGUUGUCCGGAAUCACUGGGCGUAAAGGGCGAGUAGGCGGCUGCCGAAGUCGAAAGUGAAACCCCGGGGCUCAACCUCGGGCCUGCUUUCGAAACCAGGCAGCUUGAGUGCAGGAGAGGUAAGUGGAAUUCCCGGUGUAGCGGUGAAAUGCGUAGAGAUCGGGAGGAACACCAGUGGCGAAGGCGGCUUUCUGGACUGUAACUGACGCUGAGGCACGAAAGCGUGGGGAGCAAACAGGAUUAGAUA